rnacentral:rRNA from 1 species
GACGAACGCUGGCGGCGUGCUUAACACAUGCGAGUCGAACGAUGAUGCUCCAGCUUGCUGGGGUGGAUUAGUGGCGAACGGGUGAGUAACACGUGAGUAACCUGCCCCCUUCUUCGGGAUAAGCUUGGGAAACUGGGUCUAAUACUGGAUAUUCUGCAAUUGUCGCAUGGUGGUUGUGGGAAAGAUUUUUUGGUGGGGGAUGGGCUCGCGGCCUAUCAGCUUGUUGGUGGGGUGAUGGCCUACCAAGGCGUCGACGGGUAGCCGGCCUGAGAGGGUGACCGGCCACACUGGGACUGAGAUACGGCCCAGACUCCUACGGGAGGCAGCAGUGGGGAAUAUUGCACAAUGGGCGCAAGCUUGAUGCAGCGACGCCGCGUGAGGGAUGACGGCUUUCGGGUUGUAAACCUCUUUCGAUGGGGAACAAGGCCAUAUUUUUGUGUGGUUGAGGGUACCUGUAUAAGAAGCGCCGGCUAACUACGUG